rnacentral:rRNA from 1 species
AUGCGGUUCCCCAUCCUUGUGUCCGCCAACACGCACGACCUCACGCUGCACGUACUCCUCCACGCCAAGCACGCUACGUCGGCGAGGUGCUGGUCCCCAUGCAGGACCUCUUCGGCGUCGCCUGCCCGCGAGCACCAGCACCGGUCGGAAAGCGCGGGGGUGCUUCACAUCUCCUACAGCCUCACCGACGACGCGCCGUUGACGGUGAUGGACCACACGCGGUACACGCAGCAGCAGAGCGCAGUGGCUCCGUAUGGGUACGGCGCACCGUCCGCGGCGCCGGCGAGGCACGACGACAGUGGCGGCGGAGGGAUGGGGCUCAUGGGCGCGGCAGUCGGCGGGAUGAUGCUGGGCAUCGGCGAGGGCGUCGGAGAUAUGCAUAAUCGCCGACUCAGAGAUGGGCAUGGACGGCUGCUGGCCUGCUGCUAA